GAUGAACGCUGGCGGCGUGCCUAAUACAUGCAAGUCGAGCGAACAGACGAGGAGCUUGCUCCUCUGACGUUAGCGGCGGACGGGUGAGUAACACGUGGAUAACCUACCUAUAAGACUGGGAUAACUUCGGGAAACCGGAGCUAAUACCGGAUAAUAUAUUGAACCGCAUGGUUCAAUAGUGAAAGACGGUUUUGCUGUCACUUAUAGAUGGAUCCGAGCCGCAUUAGCUAGUUGGUAAGGUAACGGCUUACCAAGGCAACGAUGCGUAGCCGACCUGAGAGGGUGAUCGGCCACACUGGAACUGAGACACGGUCCAGACUCCUACGGGAGGCAGCAGUAGGGAAUCUUCCGCAAUGGGCGAAAGCCUGACGGAGCAACGCCGCGUGAGUGAUUAAGGUCUUCGGAUCGUAAAACUCUGUUAUUAGGGAAGAACAAAUGUGUAAGUAACUAUGCACGUCUUGACGGUACCUAAUCAGAAAGCCACGGCUAACUACGUG
rnacentral:rRNA from 1 species